rnacentral:rRNA from 1 species
UGUGCAUAUUUUAGAGCUUAAUCAAAUUAAAAAAUAAAGUAAAAUUACAUUCAAAUCCACUUUUAUAAAAUUUAUUUCAUAAAAUAAUCCAUUUAAAUAAAUUCAAUGUAACCCAUUACCUCUUCUACACAAGCUGCAUCUUGAUCUGAUAUAUUUCUUAAUAAAGAACACUGACCAUUUAAUUCUUAUAAAAUAAUCUAAGACGACGAUAUACAAGCUAAUAUUAAAAGUGUUGUUUAUUGUGGAGUAUCAAUUACGGAACAGGUUCCUCUGAAAAGACUAAAAUACCGCCAAAAUCUUUUGUUUUAAAGAUAAUAACUAAUAAUAACCUAGAGUAAAAUUUACAUUUUAAAUCAUC